AGAGUUUGAUCCUGGCUCAGGAUGAACGCUAGCGACAGGCUUAACACAUGCAAGUCGAGGGGCAGCACGGUGUAGCAAUACACUGGUGGCGACCGGCGCACGGGUGAGUAACACGUGUGCAACCAACCCCGUACCGGGAGAUAACCCGCGGAAACGUGGACUAACAUCCCAUAACACUCUAGAGCCGCAUGGUUCUGGAUUUAAAACCCCGGUGGUACGGGACGGGCACGCGCGACAUUAGGUAGUUGGCGGGGUAACGGCCCACCAAGCCGACGAUGUCUAGGGGUUCUGAGAGGAAGGUCCCCCACACUGGAACUGAGACACGGUCCAGACUCCUACGGGAGGCAGCAGUGAGGAAUAUUGGUCAAUGGGCGCGAGCCUGAACCAGCCAAGUCGCGUGAGGGAUGAAUGGUCCAUGGCCUGUAAACCUCUUUUGUCAAGGAAGAAUAAAAGGUACGUGUACCUUCUUGCCAGUACUUGACGAAUAAGCAUCGGCUAACUCCGUGCCAGCAGCCGCGGUAAUACGGGGGAUGCGAGCGUUAUCCGGAUUUAUUGGGUUUAAAGGGCGCGUAGGCGGGACGCCAAGUCAGCGGUAAAAGACUGCAGCUAAACUGUAGCACGCCGUUGAAACUGGCGACCUGGAGACGAGACGAGGGAGGCGGAACAAGUGAAGUAGCGGUGAAAUGCUUAGAUAUCACUUGGAACCCCGAUAGCGAAGGCAGCUUCCCAGGCUCGAUCUGACGCUGAUGCGCGAGAGCGUGGGUAGCGAACAGGAUUAGAUACCCUGGUAGUCCACGCCGUAAACGAUGCUCACUGGAUCUUGGCGAUACACUGCCAGGGUUCAAGCGAAAGUAUUAAGUGAGCCACCUGGGGAGUACGUCGGCAACGAUGAAACUCAAAGGAAUUGACGGGGGCCCGCACAAGCGGAGGAACAUGUGGUUUAAUUCGAUGAUACGCGAGGAACC
rnacentral:rRNA from 1 species